AUCGGUGGUGAUAGCGAGGGGGAAACACCCGUUCCCAUUCCGAACACGGAAGUUAAGCCCCUCAGCGCCGAUGAUACUGCGGGGGAAACCCCGUGGGAAAGUAGGUCGCCGCCGAUC
rnacentral:rRNA from 1 species